rnacentral:rRNA from 1 species
AUUGAACGCUGGCGGCAUGCUUUACACAUGCAAGUCGAGCGGCAGCGCGGGGGCAACCCUGGCGGCGAGCGGCGAACGGGUGAGUAAUGCAUCGGAACGUAUCCUCGAGUGGGGGAUAACCCAGCGAAAGUUGGGCUAAUACCGCAUGAGCUCUGAGGAGGAAAGCGGGGGACCUUCGGGGGCCUCGCGCUGGGGGAGCGGCCGAUGUCCGAUUAGCUAGUUGGUGGGGUAAAGGCUUACCAAGGCGACGAUCGGUAGCUGGUCUGAGAGGAUGAUCAGCCACACUGGGACUGAGACACGGCCCAGACUCCUACGGGAGGCAGCAGUGGGGAAUUUUGGACAAUGGGGGCAACCCUGAUCCAGCCAUGCCGCGUGAGUGAAGAAGGCCUUCGGGUUGUAAAGCUCUUUCGGACGGAACGAAAUGGGCGGGACUAAUACUCCUGUCUGAUGACGGUACCGUAAGAAGAAGCACCGGCUAACUACGUG